GAUGAAGAACGUAGCGAAAUGCGAUAAGUAAUGUGAAUUGCAGAAUUCAGUGAAUCAUCGAAUCUUUGAACGCACCUUGCACCCUUUGGUAUUCCGAAGGGUAUGCUCGUUUGAGUGUCAUUGUACUCUCACACUUCUAAUUCCUUUCGGGAUUGGGAGCGGUGGACUUGGGUGUUGCUGCUUUAGUUGUGGCUCACCCCAAAUAAGUUAGUGCAACUCUUGGUUGGACAUAGUACGGCGUGAUAAGUGUCUUCGCCGGCGCCUCUGUAAGGAGGGUGGCCGAUCGGGAGCUCUGUGCUUCAAACCGUCUUCGGACAAUCUUUGACAACUUGACCUCAAAUCGAGUAGGACUACCCGCUGAACUUAAGCAUAUCAAUAAGCGGAGGA
rnacentral:misc_RNA from 1 species